AUCACCUGGACACCUUGCUAAAUGCAGAUUCUGAUUCAGUAGGUCUGUUAGGGCUGGAGAUUCUGCAUUUCUAACAAGCUCCCAGGUGAUGCUGA
rnacentral:pre_miRNA from 1 species